rnacentral:rRNA from 1 species
UACGAAGGGUACAAGCGUUGUUCGGAAUUACUGGGCGUAAAGCGCGCGUAGGCGGUCGCGUACGUCGGUUGUGAAAGCCCUGGGCUUAACCUGGGAACUGCAGUCGAAACUGCGUGUCUUGAGUGCCUGAGAGGAUGGCGGAAUUCCCGGUGUAGUAGUGAAAUACGUAGAUAUCGGGAAGAACACCUGAGGCGAAGGCGGCUAUCUGGCGGUGCACUGACGCUGAGGCGCGAAAGCGUGGGGAGCAAACAGG